GACGAAGGGGGCUAGCGUUGUUCGGAAUUACUGGGCGUAAAGCGUGUGUAGGUGGUUGUCAUAGUCAGGUGUGAAAGCCUUGAGCUCAACUCAAGAAAUGCACUUGAUACUGGGCAACUAGAGGACCGGAGAGGAUAGUGGAAUUCCCAGUGUAGUGGUGAAAUGCGUAGAUAUUGGGAGGAACACCAGUGGCGAAGGCGGCUCACUGGACCGGUACUGACGCUGAGGCACGAGAGCGUGGGGAGCGAACGGG
rnacentral:rRNA from 1 species